CUCUGUUUUUCUGAAUUAACGAGUUAAUUAUCUCAGAAUUAUGAGAUACAUUUUUCUUGAAAAACAUUUUUUCACUCUGUUUUUAUGAAUUAAUGAGUUAAUUAUCUCAGAAUUAUGAGAAUAAUCUUCAUGAAAAAAAAAAUAUUUUGCUCUGUUUUUCUAAAUUAACGAGAUCCCUCAAAAUCCUGCGAGAAGCUUUCACCUGCACGAAGUAACGUCAGGCCACAGUUGCUGAUGCUAAUCAGCCUGACCCUUCAACAACAACAGUGCCAGGUCUACAUGGGUUCAGUGCAGGGCCAGCUAUGGCUACGUCUUCAAAUACCCCCCUCCCACAAGAUGACGGUCUGUGGAUGUUUCUUCAGAGCCGAGGGAUUCCUGAGGAAAAUAUUCAGAAAAUGCAGCAAGAUCAUAUUGACAGCUCGGUAAUUGGAGAAAUAGAUGAUGCCACUAUGACUGCUUACAUUCCAGCAUAUGGUGAUAGGAUUGCUACAAGGCAUUUCUGUAUGGAAAAACAGAGAAAAGGUGGUGAUGAUCUAAAAAGACUGUCCUUAUUUGAAAAACUUAGAAGAAAGAUGGGCACAUUGACAAGCAAUAAAGACACAGAUCAAGAUUUUGAGGAGGAGCAUUCUAUGCAGCCAACAAAGAUACAUCUGAGAAAUAACAAAAGGGCUGUGAAGAUGACAAGGAAAAUAGAACUAGGAUGGAUACACGACAAGAAACAAGUGAGAAAACUCAAUGGUGGAGGAACCAGAGUUCUUGAUAUUUCCAAGAAAGCCACAAAAACAGAGAUUCUAUCACAAGCUAAAAAGCUAUUUUUCCCCAAUGAGAAAUCGAGAAAGGGAAAGUGGGAAGAGUUCAGUCACAACAUUGUUGACUUUCAGGAAGCAUACCUUGAUGAGGAUGUUAGUGUGGGAGAGCUCUAUGAGACACAUAAAUUGGGGAUUUUAAGAUUUUACUUGUUCACAGAGCACCUGACAAAUGGAGAUGAAGUGUUCCCAGAGAUGACAGAAGGAACUGAUGAACAGACAGAUGCAGCGAGGCUAAAUGAGCGACAGAAAAACACAACAGAAGAUAAUGAGCAGGUGACACAAAAAACACAUGACAGUGAACAGCAGACACACACUGUGGAAGCUUUUGUCUCUACUGCUGUAGAGAUUGUUGAUCUUACAUCUUUGUGUGAUGAAUCGGAGGUCAUUUUUGGCCCUUUGCAAGGUGGACCAUUUUCAGAAGAUCUUGAUGACACAAUCUUACAUGAGCCUAUAGAAGAGGCACAGAUAACCUUCAAUGCCUACAGCUCAACUCCUGUCCAUUCUGACACAGUGCCUGCUGGCCCAUUAAGUCCUACUUAUGAACUUUUUCAUGUGACAGUGAAACUCCACAGAGUCAGUCUCUUGGAGGAACUGAUUACCCAAUUCAAGGAUGAAGCGAUGAUGUCCUACUCUGUGAAAUACAGCUUCAUUCAUGAAAUGGGGGCAGAUGCUGAUGGCGUGUCCAGGGAUGUAUAUGCUGCCUUCUGGACAGAGUUUUUAGACUGUGCAGCAGAGGGUGCAGAUGUGAGGGUGCCAUCACUAUCCCCAAAAUGGCAAGAGGAAGAAUGGAAAUCUGUUGGUAGGAUAAUGGUCAAGGGAUUAAAGGACCAUGGAUAUUUUCCUUCUCGGCUGGCUCAAGCCUUUACAGCAGCAAUCACAUUUGGUGAACACACUGUCUCACCUGAUUUAUUGUUUGACUCACUAAUGUUGUAUCUUAGUCAGUCUGAGCGCGAUCUCUUGUCCACUGCUUUGCAAGACGCCCUUGAUGGUGAUGAUGAAGAUGAGCUUCUUGAUCUUAU
ensembl:lncRNA